rnacentral:rRNA from 1 species
UACAGAGGGGGGCAAGCGUUUGUUCGGAAUUACUGGGCGUAAAGGGCGCGUAGGCGGCCUUUCUAAGUCGAACGUGAAAUCCCCGGGCUCAACCCGGGAACUGCGUCCGAUACUGGAAGGCUUGAAUCCGGGAGAGGGAUGUGGAAUUCCAGGUGUAGCGGUGAAAUGCGUAGAUAUCUGGAGGAACACCGGGUGGCGAAGGCGACAUCCUGGACCGGUAUUGACGCUGAGGCGCGAAAGCCAGGGGAGCAAACGGG